rnacentral:misc_RNA from 1 species
GAUGAAGAACGUAGCGAAAUGCGAUACGUAAUGUGAAUUGCAGAAUUCAGUGAAUCAUCGAAUCUUUGAACGCAUAUUGCGCUCUCUGGUAUUCCGGAGAGCAUGCUUGUUUGAGUAUCAGUAAACACCUCAACUCCCUUUUCUUUUUUGAAAUGGGAGCUGGACUUGAGUGAUCCCAACACUUUUCUCACUGGAAAGUGGCGGGUCACUUGAAAUGCAGGUGCAGCUGGACUUUUCUCUGAGCUAUACGCAUAUCUAUUUAGUCUGCCUAAAAAACAGAUUAUUACCUUUGCUGCAGCUAACAUAAAGGAGAUGAGUUCUUGUGCUGACUGAUGCAGGAUUCACAGAGACAGCUUUGCGGCUGACUUUGUAAACUCGAUCUCAAAUCAAGUAAGACUACCCGCUGAACUUAAGCAUAUCAAUAAGCGGAGGA